UACGGAGGGUGCAAACGUUGCUCGGAAUCAUUGGGCGUAAAGCGCACGUAGGCGGCCUGAUAAGUCGGGUGUGAAAGCCCUGGGCUCAACCCAGGAAGUGCACUCGAAACUGUCAGGCUUGAAUAUGGAAGAGGGUCGCGGAAUUCCCGGUGUAGAGGUGAAAAUUCGUAGAUAUCGGGAGGAACACCAGUGGCGAAGGCGGGCGACCUGGGCCAAUAUUGACGCUGAGGUGCGAAAGCGUUGGGGAGUCAAAAACAGG
rnacentral:rRNA from 1 species